GAAGGUCCACAUAGCUUUAGGGAUAUGGCCUGGAUUCAAGGCCUUGAGGGAUCUUCACUUGUGUUAUCGAGGCCUCACCUGCGUCUCAUGGUUUUACAUCUUCCAACCAAUAUAACAAAUGGACAGAAAACUGAACAGCAUCGGAACAGGAUAAAUUCUCAUCCCCUAUGAUGCAGUGAGUUUAGAAAUCCUCCACUCAGGCAGAAAAAA